UACAGAGGGGGCAAGCGUUAUUCGGAAUUAUUGGGCGUAAAGGGCGCGUAGGCGGCUUGGCAAGUGGAUGGUGAAAUCCCUCGGCUUAACCGAGGAACUGCCGUCCAAACUGCUUCGCUUGAGACCGGGAGAGGUGAGUGGAAUUCCCAGUGUAGAGGUGAAAUUCGUAGAUAUUGGGAAGAACACCGGUGGCGAAGGCGGCUCACUGGCCCGUAACUGACGCUCAUGCACGACAGCGUGGGGAUCAAACAGG
rnacentral:rRNA from 1 species